rnacentral:lncRNA from 1 species
AUUAUCUCACCUGGCUACUUUCCUGGACUUCAUUAUCUCCAUAAACUUGCUAUUCUACAAGAUAAAAUCAACUCUGAAACUCCUAUAUCCUCAACACCUCUCUUUCUCUGUGUGUCUCACUGUCUCUCUCUGUCUCUCCUUAACCUCCUACUUUCCAUCUUAGAAAUACUCUGUGUUGAUUCCAAGGCAGAAAAAUGGUAAUGACUAGACAAUGGGGGUUAGGUAACUUGCCCAGGGACACAUAGCUAGGAAGGAUGUAAGGACAGAUUUGAACCCAGAACUUCCUGUCUCUCAAUCCAAUGAGUCACCUAGCUGCCUUUAUGUUUCCCUCUUAUAGAAGAACACGGAGGGUGGACAGCGCCUACCAUGGGAAGAUACCAAGGAAUUCUCAUCAUCUUUCAUCUGGCUGCUUUCCUGGACUUUAUCAUUUCAAGAAACUCAUUAUUCUGCAAGAUGAAAUCUACUCUCAAACUCUCAUCUCCUCAGAUUAUUUCCUACUCCAGCUGCAGGACUUUAUCAUGCCUCCACUUUGGGGACCAUCUGCCCUACUGCUUUCCUGGUAGGCCACUGGGCUUUAACAUCUGUUCUACCACUGAACCUUUCUGACCAUGGAAACCCUGUCAUCUUUCCUGAUGCUGUACCCUCUAGAACUCUGGGCAUUUCCACCUUCCCAGAACUUGGAAGACCACAGAUCCUUUCCACUUCCACUUCACCUGAAUCUUCCUCUAUGGAUUGUGUCUAUCAGUACAAAGUGAGCUCUUUGAGGGGCUCUCACUUUUCUAGUGGUAUCUUCAGUGUUUUGUACACAGUAAAUGUUCAACAAAUGCUUUUUUGUUCCUUUC